UUUAUUGUUCUUGAUAUUCUGCUUAUCUGUCAUCCCCACAACAUGUUCCCCUUCCCCACCUUUAAGUGCUUAUUACUUGUUUACUUUUUCAUCAUAUAUUAUAUAAUUGCACCGGCUUAUCUGGAGCCUGGUCCUAGCCUCAUCACUACUUCGCUGGGGUUAGGCCAGACACUUACCAUCACAUGGGGUCGGUUGUGCUGAUGCUACACUCUGUGCUCUUUUGCACAGAUCCAAGUGCCGGAGUAACAUUUGAGCAGCAGUGUUAGAUCGGGAGCCAGCCUUCAGUCCACGAGACAUCUAGGUAGCCUUGUAGAUGUUCACAAGCCCAGAAUCUCCUCUAUCUUGUUUUUUUUUUAAUUUUGUUAUCUCAUGUAUUCCGAGACAAAUAAUGUAUUAUUAUUUUCAAACGGUUGUGUGUAGCACUGUUAGUGGUUCGUGAGUACGUGACACCAGUUCUUUGGUAGAGAUUAUAUUGAUUUUUUCGUAUUAUUGUUCAGAUUCUUUA
rnacentral:lncRNA from 1 species